AAGGAAAGGUUGCUCUGCCCCGAGAUGUUACAGCGCUUGCUAUUGGGCAGGGAGGCUCUGUGCCUGCUGGAGGGGGCUGAAUCGCCACGUUUGCAGGGUGGCUCGGGGUUCCCCACCAAGGUUGCAAAGAGCGCUGGAUUUGAGCUGCGCGGGGUGUAAGGUUUCCGUUGGGGGAGUUCCCGGCUCCAGCCUAAGAACAGCUCAGUUGCUCUGUAUAAACCAGAUGAAGUUUGACAAACUUGUUUUCACUCACCAAACACUCUAAAGUUUGCAGCCACACAGCGACAGCAGGAAGCGAACGAGGGGUCUUGCAAACCCGCUGUAUUGUUUUGUGACCCUGGCAAGCUGACAAAGAUCAGAGCUAAUUGCAGAUCCUCACGGACUGCAACAGGAACCUUCUCUGCAGCCUCGCAGCUUGUACCGCAACAACAGCACAUCGCCACAAAUCUCAUCCAUCUACAGGGAGAUCCCUUAUUUGGGAUCGGUUUAAGGCAGGUGAAGCCUUUUGCUGUGUAUUCGAGGGACGUUUAAAUUCUCAGCCCGGCUGCAGGAGUAAUGUUCUCUGCAGCCUCGCAGCUAGCCCUGGAGAUCAUCCCAGGCCUGCUUCAGUGAGGUAUUGAUUACCGAAAAUCAACUUGGCACUUGAAACACUGCUUCAUAGGAUGGCAGAACCCUGUGUGGCACAACCAGUGGAGAAAUUUUCAUCAAUGAUCCUUCAUCAACUAUUGUAGAUGGAAAGAGGACGGAAUCACCAAACUCCUGUGUCCAGUUCUCCUCACCAGAGAAGUCAGUUAAUAUUGUCCCCUCUGCCAGAAAAAAAACCACCUAGAGAGGAUUAUUUAGAAGGAGAAGAAGAGGUCUCAUGCUUUGUAAUAAAUUGGUGUUGCUUGUUUCUGCAGAGUUUUCUGAAGGGUGCACAGAAUGCUAAACGGAAGUGGAAGGAUAGAUUUCUAUAAUAUAAAGUGUUCUGCUGCUGUGCAUGAGAAUGUGAGAGGGUUCCCAUUUCUGCACUAAAGUUUUAAUAAUGUUUCAUUUUCUCUUAAGAUUAUCUGAGAUAGAGGAGACUCAUCCCCUGU